rnacentral:rRNA from 1 species
AUUGAACGCUGGCGGCAUGCCUUACACAUGCAAGUCGAACGGUAACGCGGGGCAACCUGGCGACGAGUGGCGAACGGGUGAGUAAUGCAUCGGAACGUGCCCAGUAGUGGGGGAUAGCCCGGCGAAAGCCGGAUUAAUACCGCAUACGACCUACGGGUGAAAGGGGGGGAUCGCAAGACCUCUCGCUAUUGGAGCGGCCGAUGUCAGAUUAGGUAGUUGGUGGGGUAAAGGCCUACCAAGCCGACGAUCUGUAGCUGGUCUGAGAGGACGACCAGCCACACUGGGACUGAGACACGGCCCAGACUCCUACGGGAGGCAGCAGUGGGGAAUUUUGGACAAUGGGCGCAAGCCUGAUCCAGCCAUGCCGCGUGCGGGAAGAAGGCCUUCGGGUUGUAAACCGCUUUUGUCAGGGAAGAAAUCUUCUGGGUUAAUACCUCGGGAGGAUGACGGUACCUGAAGAAUAAGCACCGGCUAACUACGUGCCAGCCGCCGCCGUAACAC